UCUUAAAUCUUGAAGUUGGCGGGCUCUUAAAACACGCUUUUCAAAAUGAAAAAAUCGGGGCAUUCUAAAGCGCUAUCUUCAUCGACCCUCUUAUCUUCAUCGUCCUUCUCCCUUAUAGACCCUUACAGACCCAAAACAUAAAAUCCCUAGCUCACAGACCCUCUUAUCUUCAUCGUCCUUCUCCCUCACUCCAUUGUUCUGUUCGCGAGUCAUGGUGGUCGAGCUCUGAAUUCCGACCACCUAGGACGACCCAUUCAAGCACGUAAUGGUGUCGCUCUACCUCAGUUUGCUGAACAACGAUCCCAGAGUUAACCGUCAUGUUAUGGGUUUCGAGCCUGAGCAAAUUAUGAUUCGGUUUCGAUAUCCUGGAUUACAGGUUUGUUUCUGGACCAUAUAGAGGAAGCCGAGAAAUCAUUUGUUAUGCGAAGCUAAGAAAAGUGAUAAAGCUCAGAUCUUGCAGCUCUCAAACAAACUCCAAUCAGUAAUCAGUGGAAAGCCCUUUCUUUUCUGGGUAUGUUCUUCCUUUGUUUCCCCUAACAAACCCACCAAAACAAAUAUGCAAUUGCAUUUUCAAGUGUCAAGUCUCUUGCUUUGUUUCCCUGCGCCCGUGAAUUGAAUUGGGUGUGUGCAGAUUGGAUUUUAAAGCUUGCGCUAUAUAAUGGAGGAUGUCCAGGAGCAGCAAAGUGAAUCACUUGGUACUUCAUCCUAAUCUUCCCUUCAUUUUCAGUUAUGAAAUCUUUAGAGAUAUAGUUGUGAUGUUGAUACCUUUUUUCAUAUUGUUAAUCAUCGAUGCUUGAUUAUCUGAAGCUGAAAUCACACCACCAAGUUUAGUUUUAUGUGAAUAUAGAGUAAUAUAGCCAUUUUGAAAUUCAAGUGAAAUCUACAAUGACCACUAUUUGUUUAAUAAUCAAGAGAUCAUCAGUUUAUUUUGAUGGAAGGAAUUUAGUAUCGACUGAAUUUGAUCUUAAAGUCAUAAAAAGACGCUAAACUUCGGGGAUGACACUACCUUUCUUGAUACUCUUCCUAUUGGUAGUGGUAAUUUUGUUAGCACUCGGAUCAAACUGAGUCUUAAAAUGUUCAUUUAUCUAGUGCCACUGUUAGAAAGUGGUUUUCUAGAUUCAAGUCAUGGUUGUAAUUCAAGAACCUUCAGAUAAGAUGGUUUUUGAGUCAUUGAGUUGGACUGCAUACACACAGAUGUUUUUUUAUAUCCUUUUCUACUUAAUUCUUGACAAACUGUUUACUGAUUUUUUG